rnacentral:rRNA from 1 species
AUGGGCUCCUUUGCUAAUGGCCAGAAUGGUUCAGAGCUUGGCAUCCAGAUGCCGGCCAUGGGGAGCAGCGCGGUGCUGGAGCCUCCCACAACAUCUGUAACACCAAGAUGUCCACGGCUGGACAUGGCCAUGGUGGCAACCAGAGCUGCAGCCCUCGUGAUGGCGCUGCUCUCAAUGUCGCUCAUGGUCUCCGCCAGGCAACGGGGUAAUCUCAUCAUCUUUGGCAUCGAGAUUCCACUGUAUGCCAAAUGGUCCCUCUCUGAUUCGCUGAAAUCCUUGGUUGGGAUAUCUGCAGCAGCAGCUGCCUACUCUCUGGCACAACUUCUGUCGAUUGCAUACAAGGCAUUGAAGAAAGUCCCUGCGGUUCCAUCCAGGCGCUAUGCCUGGAUGCUGUUAGCUGGUGAUCAGGAAUAUGCAACGCUAUACUCCGAGGCCACCUUCAGAGAACAAAUCAGAAGAUCCUGCAGCAUGUCGAGUCAACUCACGUACAACAUUAAUAGGCAAGGUAAUGAUGAUCGAUGGAACCUAUGGUUGCAGACACAAAGGAAAGUUCAUGCCUUUUUCAAAAUGACAGAACCAUAUUUUGCUUGGCAUGAGAUCGGACGUACCUCAGGUGGAGCAUGGUCUGUACGGCGAGAUUGUAAGACAGCGUAG